rnacentral:tRNA from 1 species
AAGUCAAGUUAGUUUAAUAUUAAAACAUCAGCCUGUGGAUUUGAAAAUAAAAUCUGUUUUACUUGACCU